rnacentral:lncRNA from 1 species
ACUAUCCAUGAAGUAAAAGCCUCCAACUACCAUAAUGUUCACAAUGCGAAAUAGUAAAGUUCUGUUGUUUACUAUUCUAGUCAAUGUCCAAGUAGUACACUAAGUCAUCAUUUGUCCACAUGUCAUAAUGAAUACUCAAAGUCAAAUCUGAAGAGACCCACCCGAAGGCUGUCUAUGGCCCUGAGACCCACCCAUAUGCUGUCUCGCCGGUGCCAAGCCUAAUGACCCCGUGGUAGUCAUCAUUCCCACCCUAGGAAUGAGCCUAUCCCACGACAAUCCACUUCGGCGCCCAAUCCCGCACGGCGAAUAUGAAUCGCGAUGGCUAUCUCCGGAGUGCCGGCUUGUAGGGAGCGACCCUCACAAGCAUGUGCGAAUGAGCACAAUGGCAAGUAGUCAAACAAUCUGUCGCAAGUACCAAGUCCUCAUGUCUAAUAACAUGGAAUGUAUCGAAUGUCCCAAAAGCCUAUCUCGAUGUCGUCAUGUCUCUAACAUGGAAUAUAUAGCAGAUGUACAAUGGCCUAUCAUCAUGUCUCUAAGUUGCAUUUUCAUAGUUUACUAAUUCCAAGUGCCCCUUUAUGACACUUUUGUUCAACGAGUC